rnacentral:rRNA from 1 species
GGAUCCAGACUUUGAUUAUGGCUCAGGACGAACGCUGGCGGCGUGCUUAACACAUGCAAGUCGAACGAGAAGAGAUGAGAAGCUUGCUUCUUAUUGAUUCGAGUGGCAAACGGGUGAGUAACGCGUAAGCAACCUGCCCUCUAGAUGGGGACAACAGCUGGAAACGGCUGCUAAUACCGAAUACGUUCUUUCUGUCGCAUGGCAGAGGGAAGAAAGGGAGGCUCUUCGGAGCUUUCGCUGGAGGAGGGGCUUGCGUCUGAUUAGCUAGUUGGAGGGGUAACGGCCCACCAAGGCGACGAUCAGUAGCCGGUCUGAGAGGAUGAACGGCCACAUUGGGACUGAGACACGGCCCAGACUCCUACGGGAGGCAGCAGUGGGGAAUCUUCCGCAAUGGACGAAAGUCUGACGGAGCAACGCCGCGUGAACGAUGACGGCCUUCGGGUUGUAAAGUUCUGUUAUACGGGACGAAUGGUACGACGGCCAAUACCCGUCGUACGUGACGGUACCGUAAGAGAAAGCCACGGCUAACUACGUGCCAGCAGCCGCGGUAAUACGUAGGUGGCAAGCGUUGUCCGGAAUUAU